UAGGUUACAUCUCAAGGAGAAGGAUUGCCAGAUCAAAAGUCUUGCAGUUAACCAGGCGUGGUGGCAGAUACCUGUAAUCCCAGCUAUUCGGGAGGCUGAGGCAGGAGAAUCGCUUGUACCCGGGAGGCAGAGGUUGCAGUGAGCUGAGACCGCGCCAUUGACUCCUGCCUGAUGACAAGAGAGAAUCUACGUCUCAACAACAACAACACGCUUGGGCACUGUAUUAACUCCAUAAUCGGUUUAUUCAUAAUGCUGCAUCAUCCAACCAUCAUCCAACCUAUUUAUCAUUCACAAUGCCACCUGUGAA
rnacentral:lncRNA from 10 species